UACGGGGGGGGCAAGCGUUGUUCGGAAUUACUGGACGUAAAGGGCUCGUAGGCGGCCAACUAAGUCAGGCGUGAAAUCCCUCGGCUUAACCGGGGAACUGCGUCUGAUACUGGAUGGCUUGAGUUUGGGAGAGGGAUGCGGAAUUCCAGGUGUAGCGGUGAAAUGCGUAGAUAUCUGGAGGAACACCGGUGGCGAAGGCGGCAUCCUGGACCAACACUGACGCUGAGGAGCGAAAGCCAGGGGAGCAAACGGG
rnacentral:rRNA from 1 species